GGAGUAUGGGCCGUUCUCAGUCCCAUUGUGGCCGUUCAACCUCUCAGUCCGGCUACGCAUCAUCGCCUUGGUGGGCCUUUACCUCACCAACUAGCUAAUGCGCCGCAGUCCCCUCUCAUAGUGGGUUACCCCUUUAAACGUUUAGUCAUGCGACUUGUAACGUCCUAUCCAGUAUUAUCCAUCGUUUCCAAUGGUUAUCCUCGUCUUUGAGAUAGGUUAUCUACGUGUUACUCACCCGUUCGCCAUGGUAAGCAAGCUUACCAUUCGACUUGCAUGUAUUAGGCACGCCGCCAGCGUUAAUCCUGAGCCAGGAUCAUACUCU
rnacentral:rRNA from 1 species